UCCUUAUACUACUUCUAGGAAUGUUUCCUCUCUCCUGAUCUUGGAACAUUAUCAUUCUCUAAUGAUACGUAUAUUGGUAUUUUUUUUUUUAAAGUUUCAAUACAUAAAAUGCACAACUGCUGACGGGUUUUAGUUAAUUUUUGGGAUUUUCGUUUUCUUGGGUUUCUUGAGGUUAAUGCAGGGUUUUAUAUGGUUUUUUGGCAGGUACAAUCUCAAAUGUAGUUUUAUAUAGUUUCUUGGCAGAUUUGCUACCAUGUUCUUGGGUUGGUUCAUGGAAUCUGGACCCCUAUUCCUCGAACUGCGAGUUUAUGUCUUCUAUUACUCUUAAAAGAUACACUUUAAUCAUUCUCAACAAUGAAGAAGUCUUCGUUGUUUCUUUCCAUUUUGUGAAUGUACAGAUGGUUUCAACAAUGAAGAAGUCGAUCUUUGAUGAACAAACUAACAAGGCCUUAAGGAAAUUGCAAAAGAAUGCUCAAAAGGAGAAGGCAUCAUGAUGUGGUUCGAGCUGAAUGGGCAAAUCAUGUUAUACAGUUCGAAUUUUGGUUCUGUUUAAGGUAGAUGAGUAGCACUUGGAACUGUUUUUGUGCAUUCAUAUAUAAUUGAUGGAAACUGUUGAUGAACUUAAAUUAUGCAUACAGUUGCUCUGUCUAGCUACUCUUUCUUUACCUUAUAGGUUUUUGACUUGGUGCACUAGGUAAAUGAUCGAGAUAAGAUGGUUUUUUGGUUCUCUUGACUGUUGGCUAGGUUUAGAGUUGGAACUAUGGAUUGUAUUUUGGAUGAUGUUGAUGCAAUUAAUGAAACGAAGCCAUCAUUUUCAAUGCUGA